ensembl:lncRNA
CAGGACCUCACUUCAGCUACAGUGUUAGCUGAAACAAAACUCUGCCUCAAUUGAGUUGAAGUGUUCUCCCUGUUCCAUGAAUGAAAGAGAGAUUUAUAUGUUUCACUGUUACUUUGUCAUGAGUACAAAGAGGCAGUUUGGGUGAAAAAUAAAAAGUAGUGUUACAUCAGAAGGAUUUAGAGAUGACCAAUGACCUUUUAGUGAGUCAACAAAUCGCCUUUUCAGAAAUCCUCUUACAGUACAAGUGCUUUCUGUGGCUGCUAGGAAAGAUAGAAAAACCUCUUUAAACCCUUUUUUGUCUUUUGUGCUUUAUUUUUUACAAGACACUUGAUGUCAUCCAGCGUUAAAUGCAGUAAGAAAUCUCAGGUGGAAUUGCUGCGCUGGCUUCUCUCACUGGGUCCGCCUCUGGGCAGCAUUUCCCUAUAGUUCCCUCCUUCAUACACCUGCUUCACAUUUGCGAUCGAGUGCUGGGUAUAUCUGGCUGGUGGAUUCACCAGUUCUUUGCAGGUUUGUUACAAAUAACAGGUAAUGAAGGUGGCUCAAUGGGCGCCAUGAUGGUGAUGACAAUCUGUUUGUUUCCUCCCAGUUACCUGUCUGAGCUGUUGUGGAAACUUUGGCUCUUUGGAAAUACAAACCUCCUCCAUGACUCCAUUCACCUAGAAAACAAGUAAGGCUGACACAGUUUUCACCUCUGUCAACAGUGUCCCACUACUGGACUGCUUUUAGCUCCCUAUUUAAAGGCAGUGCUCACUAAUGAACUGCAGAACCUCCCGACCAUCUAUCCACUACUUCUUCAUUCAGUCGUUGUCAAUAAAAUAAAUCUUAAACUUCCCAGCUGUUCUUUGAGUCUGCUCUCUGGGUCUACAAUUAGCCACAUUAUUACAGGAAGCAGUCAUCUAUAAAACUGAAUAAAUCUCAUUCAAC